rnacentral:rRNA from 1 species
CGUAAGGAGUUCGUAGUCCUCGGCGUCACGGACGAACGGCUAGGCGGCGUGCCUAUACAUGCAAGUCGAACGGAGAUAUUCGCUGAUGAAGUACUUCGGUAAUGAAUCUUGGAUAUCUUAGUGGCGGACGGGUGGAGUAACGACGUGAGCAACCUGCCUUUCAGAGGGGGAGUAACGUUUGGUAAACGAACGCUAAUACCGCAUGACAUUAUCUUAUCGCAUGGUAGGAUAAUCAAAGGAGCAAUCCGCUGAAAGAUGGGCUCGCGUCCGAUUAGGUAGUUGGUGGGGUAACGGCCCACCAAGCCGACGAUCGGUAGCCGGACUGAGAGGUUGGACGGCCACAUUGGGACUGAGACACGGCCCAGACUCCUACGGGAGGCAGCAGUAAGGGAUAUUGGUCAAUGGGGGAAACCCUGAAUCAGCAACGCCGCGUGAGGGAAGACGGUUUUCGGAUUGUAAACCUCUGUCCUCUGUGAAGAUGAUGACGGUAGCAGAGGAGGAAGCUCCGGCUAACUACGUG